rnacentral:rRNA from 1 species
AUUGAACGCUGGCGGCAGGCCUAACACAUGCAAGUCGAACGAGUGGCGGACGGGUGAGUAAUGUCUGGGAAACUGCCCGAUGGAGGGGGAUAACUACUGGAAACGGUAGCUAAUACCGCAUACCAUCGGAUGUGCCCAGAUGGGAUUAGCUAGUGGGUGGGGUAAUGGCUCACCUAGGCGACAAUCCCUAGCUGGUCUGAGAGGAUGACCGGACACACUGGAACUGAGACACGGGCCAGACUCCUACGUGAGGCAGCAGUGGGGAAUAUUGCACAAGGGGCGAAAGCCUGAUGGAGCCAUGCCGCGUGUAGGAAGAAGGCCUUCGGUUUGAAAAGGACUUUCAUCAAGGAGGCGGUACCCGCAGAAGAAGCACCGGCUAACUCCGUGCCAGCAGCCGCGGUAAUAC